GCAGCCGCGGUAAUACGGAGGAUGCGAGCGUUAUCCGGAUUUAUUGGGUUUAAAGGGUGCGUAGGCGGGCCUUUAAGUCAGCGGUGAAAGUUCCCGGCUCAACCGGGUCAGUGCCGUUGAUACUGAAGGUCUUGAAUGCGGUCAAGGUAGGCGGAAUGUGAUGUGUAGCGGUGAAAUGCAUAGAUAUGUCACAGAACUCCGAUAGCGAAGGCAGCUUGCCGGGCCUGCAUUGACGCUGAGGCACGAAAGCGUGGGGAUCAAACAGGAUUAGAUACCCC
rnacentral:rRNA from 1 species